AUGCCGUCUUCGAAGCCGCGCCCGGACGCCUCCAGCUCCGCCGACCUGCCCGCGGACGCGCUGUACGAGGUCCUCCUUCGCAUCCCCGCCAAGGACCUCUGCCGCCUCCGCGCCGUCUGCCCAGCCUGGCGCGCCCUCACCCACGACCCGCUCUUCGUCGCCGCGCACAGGUCCCGCCACACGACCCCGCUCCUCGCCGUGGCCUACCAGGAGGACGGUAACCAUAAUGGUGUUGUGAUUUCGGAUCUGUCGGGCAACGUGGUGAAGCGGAUUCCAAACACCGAUUACGAAGUUGUUCUGAUGAAGGUGAUGAAUCAUGCCGCUGGCCGGAUCUACGAUAGCAUCCGUGUUGUGCGCACGCGGCUAGACCGCAUCUGCUUCAACUGGGUUGUCCGCUCUCGGGCCUUCUCGGUGCUGAACCCGGCCACCGGAGCUACUAUCUCCUUCCCGGUGGGCUUAUCGGAGGAAUUGGAGCAUGAACUAGAGGGAAUGAUAUGGCGCUGCCGAAUCGAGUCCUGUGCUUUUGGGCAUGUCUCCUCUACCGGAGGGUACAAGGCGCUCCGUGUCUCUAGCAUUGAUGACCGACAGGUAAGUGAGGUUAUCACCUUUGAUGACACCAACCAUGGAUGCUGGAGGAGAAAGCAGGACCCUCCGUCCAGUAUCUGUACAGGUCGCAAGGUGAGAUGCGUGGUCGUCGAUGUGGUGGUCUACUUCUUGAUGGAUUAUAACUCCACAUACAAUGAGUCCGGUGUUAUGACUAUUGAGCCUGGUAGCAUGGCUUCUUUCAACCUCGAGACGGAGGAGUGGGGUGUUCUACCUGGUCCAGAACAGGUCCAGAGGUUUGUGCAAGAGAACAAUGCUUACAAUUACUCAGAACUUGAGUUCCGGUUAUCAUUGGCUGAGUUGGACGGCUGCUUAGUUGUGGUUCAUAAUAUUCAUUACAAAUCUAUGGACUUGUGGUUUUUGACAGAUUUUGAGAAAGGUACCUGGGUUAAGAGAUACAGCAUGCCUUCACAUGUUGCUAGGCCUUAUAGGUAUCCUUUUCUGAUGUUAGAUGGUGGGGGAAUUUUCUUCAGUGGUUCGAAUGGUCGACAAGGUUUAUUUAGUGUUGGAGAGCAAGGAGAGGAAUUUGUGCGAAGUUAUGAUUCAAGAAGUGACACUUACUCUGAUGUGCUAAAACUGAAAGAUUCCAGAUCCAUUAGCAUUUGCACAGGAAGCCUGCUGAGUUUGUAG
rnacentral:rRNA from 1 species